GACGAACGCUGGCGGCGUGCCUAACACAUGCAAGUCGAACGGAGAAUUAGCAAUAAUUCUUAGUGGCGAACGGGUGAGUAACGCGUAGACAACCUACCCUUUAGAUGGGGACAACACCGCGAAAGUGGUGCUAAUACCGAAUAUUGCUUGAGAAGCGCAUGCUUUUCAAACUAAAGAUGGCCUCUAUUUAUAAGCUAUCGCUAAAGAAUGGGUCUGCGUCUGAUUAGCUAGUUGGUGAGAUAAAAGCUCACCAAGGCAACGAUCAGUAGCCGGUCUGAGAGGGUGACCGGCCACACUGGGACUGAGACACGGCCCAGGCUCCUACGGGAGGCAGCAGUGGGGAAUCUUCCGCAAUGGACGAAAGUCUGACGGAGCAACGCCGCGUGAGUGAUGAAGGUUUUCGGAUCGUAAAACUCUGUUGUUAAGGACGAAUGUAUAGAUUGUGAAUAAUGGUUUAUAAUGACGGUACUUAACGAGGAAGCCACGGCUAACUACGUGCCAGCAGCCGCCGUAA
rnacentral:rRNA from 1 species